ACUUGCCAAGAACCAGCUGGGGUAGCCAUCUGAGGACCACACUGGCAGCUGUAAAAGGUCCCAAGCUUCGCCCCUGCCUGGUCCUCGCUUUUGCCUGCCUGCUCUCACCUGCAGCAGCGCCCUGUCCUGCCCUCCUGGGCUCCAGCUCACAUUCACCCUGCCUGUUUCAUGGCCUCUCGCCACCAGGAAUGAUCCUUCCAAAUGGGCUUGGGGUUAGGGGUGCCAUCUCAAAGCCAGUUUCCUCCAUGGAGUUCCCAGGUGGACCACCAAGUCUCCUGCUUUGACUGGGGGCGCCCAGAUUAACCUCUCACAGCCUCAGUUUCCUCAUCUGUGAAAUGAGAGAAUAUCAGUGCAUACCUUCCUGGCUCAUGGGAAAUAACAGAAAACAGGGCAAUGGGUACAGCACCUGGGGACGGUCACGUAUGUGUCAGCAUGUCCUCCUUUUCAUCCCCCUCCUCUCCACACAGCACACAGGAAGUGAGCCAGAACUCUUGCUAGAUAAACAAUGAACCCUGCGCAGGUGUCAGUAGGGGCAGGUAACCAGGCUCCCCAGCGGAGGUCGGGAGAGUCAGCAGGAGGCUUGCGGUGGGAGGGUUGCCUAAUCUGGCGUGAGAGACUGUUCCUGGGGCUUUCAGCGGCAUCUUGGACAAUCCCCAACUAUGGGGAGCAGAUGGGUCUCGAAGUACUGCCCCUUUUUGGAACUUGGGGAAACUGAGCCUCACAAAAAUUGGAUACUUCAACCGGGGACUGGAAUGAAUCCAGACACUCCGCCCGCCGUGGCCCAGCUCAGACCUCAGGAGGAGGGGUCGGAAGUUGGCAGGGGAGGAAGGCACAGUCACCGCGGGGCGCCCGGAGGGGAGCAGGGACGCCGCGGGCGGGGCCGGGUCACGUGAUAACCAAGGCCCGCCCCCCACGUGGGCCGGGAGGUGCGGCUACCCCCAGGCCCCGCCAGAGCUGCGACUGGCCCAGUCGCCCCGUGGGACCCUUUGCCACUCCCUCGGGAAGGAGAGCCGAGCCCUUAGUUCCCGGCGGCCCUUGCGGGGCACAGGUGAGCCGUGGCUGCGCGCGGCCCCUCCCUCCCGGCGCCUCCCAGAUGGGCAGCAGGAAGCUCCGAAGGUGGCGCCCAGGCUCUGAGCUGCCCUAGGUCUGCAGACUAGUGGGCGUUGGCCAGAGACAUGGCCCAGCCGCUGGCCUUCAUCCUCGAUGUCCCUGAGACCCCGGGGGACCAGGGCAGCCAGGAGCCCAGCCCCUACGAUGAAAGCGAAGUGCACCAUUCCUUCCACCAGCUCAUCCAAGAACAGAGCCAGUGGGUGGCCCAGGAGGGGCUGGAGCUGCAGCAGAGAGAGCAGGAGGCCACAGGGAGUGGCCAGCAGACGCUCCGGCGGCCCGAGGGCACCCAGAGCACGGCCACACUCCGCAUCCUGGCCAGCAUGCCCAGCCGCACCAUUGGCCGCAGCCGAGGCGCCAUCAUCUCCCAGUACUACAGCCGCACAGUGCAGCUUCGGCGCAGGAGCAGCCGGCCCCUGCUCGGGAACUUGGUCCUCUCCGCCCGGCCCAGCCUCCGCCUGUACGACCUGGAGCUGGACCCCACAGCCCGGGAGGAGGAGGAGAAGCAGAGCCUCCUGGUGAAGGAGCUCCAGAGCUUGGCGGUGGCACAGCGGGACCACAUGCUUCGAGGGAUGCCCUUAAGCCUGGCUGAGAAACGCAGCCUGCGAGAGAAGAGCAGGACCCCGACGGGGAAGUGGAGGGGCCAGCGGGGCGGCGGCGGGGUCUUCUCCUGCUGUGGCCGGCUCAGAUAUGCCUGCGUGCUGCAGGCCUUGCACAGCCUGGGGCUGGCGCUGCUCUCCGGCCUGCAGGCCCUGACGCCAUGGCGCUAUGCCCUGAAGCGUAUCGGGGGCCAGUUCGGCUCCAGCGUGCUCUCCUACUUCCUCUUCCUCAAGACCCUGCUGGCUUUCAACGCCCUCCUGCUGCUGCUGCUGGUGGCCUUCAUCAUGGGCCCGCAGGUCGCCUUCCUGCCCACCCUGCCAGGCCCUGCCCCCGUCUGCACAGGCCUGGAGCUCCUCACAGGCGCGGGCUGCUUCACCCACACCGUCAUGUUCUAUGGCCACUACAGUAAUGCCACGCUGAACCAGCCAUGUGGCAGCCCCCUGGACGGCAGCCAGUGCACACCCAGGGCGGGCGGCCUGCCCUACAACAUGCCCCUGGCCUACCUCUACACUGUGGGCGCAGGCUUCUUUAUCACCUGCAUCACCCUGGUGUACAGCAUGGCUCACUCUUUCGGGGAGAGCUACCGGGUGGGGAGCACCUCUGGCAUCCAUGCUAUCACCGUCUUCUGCUCCUGGGACUACAAGGUGACGCAGAAGCGGGCCUCCCGCCUCCAGCAGGACAACAUUCGCACCCGGCUGAAGGAGCUGCUGGCUGAGUGGCAGCUGCGGCAGAGCCCCAGGAGCGUGUGCGGGAGGCUGCGGCAGGCGGCUGCGCUGGGGCUUGCAUGGCUGCUGUGUCUGGGGACCGCGCUGGGCUGCGCUGUGGCCGUCCACGUCUUCUCAGAGUUCUUGAUCCAGAGUCCGGAGGCUGCUGGCCAGGAGGCUGCGCUGCUGGUCCUGCCCCUGGUGGUUGGCCUUCUCAACCUGGGAGCCCCCUACCUGUGCCGUGUUCUGGCCGCGCUGGAGCCGCAUGACUCCCCGGUGCUGGAGGUGUACGUGGCCAUCUGCAGGAACCUCAUCCUCAAGCUGGCCAUCCUGGGAACGUUGUGCUACCACUGGCUGGGCCGCAGGGUGGCUGUCCUGCAGGGCCAGUGCUGGGAGGACUUCGUGGGCCAGGAGCUGUACCGGUUCCUGGUGAUGGACUUCGUCCUCAUGCUUCUAGACACGCUUUUUGGGGAACUGGUGUGGAGCAGGAUUAUCUCCGAGAAGAAGCUGAAGAGGCGGCGGAAGCCGGAGUUUGACAUCGCCCGGAAUGUCCUGGAGCUGAUUUAUGGGCAGACUCUGACCUGGCUGGGGGUGCUCUUCUCACCCCUCCUCCCCGCCGUGCAGAUCAUCAAGCUGCUGCUCGUCUUCUACGUCAAGAAGACCAGCCUUCUGGCUAACUGCCAGGCGCCGCGCCAGCCCUGGCUGGCCUCACACAUGAGCACGGUCUUCCUCACGCUGCUCUGCUUCCCCGCCUUCCUGGGCGCUGCCGUCUUCCUCUGCUACGCAGUCUGGCAGGUGAAGCCCUCGAGCACCUGUGGCCCCUUCCGGACCCUGGACAGCAUGUACGAGGCUGGCAGGGUGUGGGUGCGCUACCUGGAGGCGGCGGGCCCCAGGGUCUCCUGGCUGCCCUGGGUGCACCGGUACCUGGUGGAAAACACCUUCUUCGUCUUCCUGGUGUCAGCCCUGUUGCUGGCUGUGAUCUACCUCAACAUCCAGGUGGUGCGGGGCCAGCGGAGGGUCAUCUGCCUGCUCAAGGAGCAGAUCAGCAACUUUGGAACAGGCUGGCUCUGGAUGGGCUUCUCCCCUUUGUGUUCUGGCUUUUCUAGGAGGGGGAAGACAAAAUCUUCUUAAUCAACAAGCUUCACUCCAUCUACGAGAGGAAGGAGAGGGAGGAGAGGAGCAGGGUUGGGACAACCGAGGAGACGGCAGCACCCCCUGCCCUGCUCACAGAGGAACGGGGUGACUAGGGGGAUGGCGAUGGGCCUCAUGGGCCCGCCCAGCACCCUGAGACCACACUGGUGCCUCCCAGUGACCCUGCUGGGACAUCAGGACAAGGAAGACACUGUCUCGCCUCUCGAAAGUCGCAGCUGCGCCUGGGCUGGAGCCAGAAGGGUGGGUGAAUCCAGCUUGGGCAUCCACAGUGAACUCUGCCCUGCCUGGGACUCUGUUUAUUCUGAUUAAAGGGGUUUUGCAGAUGGG